rnacentral:rRNA from 1 species
GGAGCAAUCCUGGUGGCGAGUGGCGAACGGGUGAGUAAUGUAUCGGAACGUACCAUUCAGUGGGGGAUAACGUAGCGAAAGUUACGCUAAUACCGCAUAUUCUGUGAGCAGGAAAGCAGGGGAUCGCAAGACCUUGCGCUGAUUGAGCGGCCGAUAUCAGAUUAGCUAGUUGGUGAGGUAAAGGCUCACCAAUGCGGCGAUCUGUAGCGGGUCUGAGAGGAUGAUCCGCCACACUGGAACUGAGACACGGUCCAGACUCCUACGGGAGGCAGCAGUGGGGAAUUUUGGACAAUGGGGGCAACCCUGAUCCAGCCAUGCCGCGUGAGUGAAGAAGGCCUUCGGGUUGUAAAGCUCUUUCGGCCGGGAAGAAAUCGUAUGGGCUAAUACCCUGUGCGGAUGACGGUACCGGCAUAAGAAGCACCGGCUAACUACGUGCCAGCAGCCGCGGUAAUACGUAGGGUGCGAGCGUUAAUCGGAAUUACUGGGCGUAAAGCGUGCGCAGGCGGUUUGAUAAGACAGGAGUGAAAUCCCCGGGCUCAACCUGGGAACUGCGUUUGUGACUGUCUCACUAUAGUACGGCAGAGGGGGGUGGAAUUCCACGUGUAGCAGUGAAAUGCGUAGAGAUGUGGAGGAACACCAAUGGCGAAGGCAGCCCCCUGGGUCGAUACUGACGCUCAUGCACGAAAGCGUGGGUAGCAAACAGGAUUAGAUACCCUGGUAGUCCACGCCCUAAACGAUGUCAACUAGGUGUUGGGAGGGUAAAACCUUUUAGUACCGGAGCUAACGCGUGAAGUUGACCGCCUGGGGAGUACGGCCGCAAGGUUAAAACUCAAAGGAAUUGACGGGGACCCGCACAAGCGGUGGAUGAUGUGGAUUAAUUCGAUGCAACGCGAAAAACCUUACCUACCCUUGACAUGUCCAGAAGCCCUUAGAGAUUUGGGUGUGCCCGAAAGGGAACUGGAACACAGGUGCUGCAUGGCUGUCGUCAGCUCGUGUCGUGAGAUGUUGGGUUAAGUCCCGCAACGAGCGCAACCCUUGUCGUUAAUUGCCAUCAUUUAGUUGGGCACUUUAGCGAGACUGCCGGUGACAAACCGGAGGAAGGUGGGGAUGACGUCAAGUCCUCAUGGCCCUUAUGGGUAGGGCUUCACACGUCAUACAAUGGUCGGUACAAAGGGUCGCCAACCCGCGAGGGGGAGCCAAUCCCAGAAAGCCGAUCGUAGUCCGGAUCGUAGGCUGCAACUCGCCUGCGUGAAGUCGGAAUCGCUAGUAAUCGUGGAUCAGCAUGUCACGGUGAAUACGUUCCCGGGUCUUGUACACACCGCCCGUCACACCAUGGGAGCGGGUUCCGCCAGAAGUAGGUAGCCUAACCGCAAGGAGGGCGCUUACCACGGCGGGGUUCGUGACUGGGGUGAAGUCGAAACAAGGUA